CCCCUCUCAGGGUUGCAACUGGAGAGUUUCCAGUUCUCUACCAGUCUCCACUAUGGGAGGGAGAGUCAAGCAGAGACAUUUCCACUCCUAGCUUGGGCAGUGGCUAGCGAGUGGAAGGCAAUCUGUUACAAGU